rnacentral:tRNA from 1 species
GCCCGGAUAGCUCAGUCGGUAGAGCAGGGGAUUGAAAAUCCCCGUGUCCUUGGUUCGAUUCCGAAUCCGGGCACCA